UAGCUUUAAGACUUAUAUUUAAAGUUUUACCUGCCCGGUGGAAUUCUUAACGGCCGCAGUACUUUGACUGUGCUAAGGUAGCAUAAUAAAUUGGCUUUUAAUUAAAGUCGGGUAUGAAAGGGGCUUCGGAAGAUAACUGUCUUAAAUAUAUAUAUAAUUUUAAUUUAAUUAAUGAGUGAAAAUUCUCAUAAUUUUUUACAUUAGACGAGAAGACCCUAAGAGUUAUAAUUAAGAUUAGGCUUACCUGAUAUAUCAUUUUUGUUGGGGCAACAAAGACUGGAUUAAACCGUCAUAAAACAAUUUUAACAUAACCAAUAUUUUUAGAAAGAAAUAAACUACCUUAGGGAUAACAGCAUAAUUAAUUUUUAGAUUGUGACCUCGAUGUUGGAUUAAGGACUUUGUUUACUAGCCGUAAGCAAAGAUAGUUCUGUUCGAACUGUAAUACCUU
rnacentral:rRNA from 1 species